rnacentral:rRNA from 1 species
GACGAACGCUGGCGGCGUGCCUAAUACAUGCAAGUAGAACGCACAGUUUAUACCGUGGCUUGCUACACCAUAGACUGUGAGUUGCGAACGGGUGAGUAACGCGUAGGUAACCUGCCUGGUAGCGGGGGAUAACUAUUGGAAACGAUAGCUAAUACCGCAUAAUAUUGAUUAUUGCAUGAUAAUUGAUUGAAAGAUGCUAUUGCAUCACUACCAGAUGGGCCUGCGUUGUAUUAGCUAGUAGGUGAGGUAACGGCUCACCUAGGCGACGAUACAUAGCCGACCCGAGAGGGUGGACGGCCACACUGGGAAUGGGACACGGCCCAGGCUCCUUCGGGAAGCAGCAGGAGGGAAUCUUCGGCAAUGGAGGGAAGUCUUGCCGAACAACGCCGGGGGAGUGAAGAAGGUUCUCGGAUCGUAAAGCUCUGUUGUAAGGGAAGAACGGGUGUGAGGGUGGAAAGUUCACACUGUGACGGUAUCUUACCAGAAAGGGACGGCUAACUACGUG